AAAAAAAUUCCUGAAUGGAAAAUGCAACUCUGUGCUUUACGCCUUUUCGCCGCGUUACUACAUUACAGUAAAGGCGUUUCUACACCGUACAGCUGACACACAACCAAACACAUGAGAAAUAUACAAGAAAAAAAAACAACACAGAACAUGCAAUUAAAACAAUUUCACUCCAACAAACAAACAAAAAGACAUUAAAAAAAACAUCGAGACGUGCAAAAAACGAUUACAAUCAAUGAAACACAGAAAACAACAGCCUUAACACACUGGACUACUCACAAAUCAAACCGAAUCAACCA